rnacentral:rRNA from 1 species
GAUGAACGCUAGCUACAGGCUUAACACAUGCAAGUCGAGGGGAAACGACAUCGAAAGCUUGCUUUUGAUGGGCGUCGACCGGCGCACGGGUGAGUAACGCGUAUCCAACCUGCCCACCACUUGGGGAUAACCUUGCGAAAGUAAGACUAAUACCCAAUGACGUCUCUAGAAGACAUCUGAAAGGGAUUAAAGAUUUAUCGGUGAUGGAUGGGGAUGCGUCUGAUUAGCUUGUUGGCGGGGUAACGGCCCACCAAGGCGACGAUCAGUAGGGGUUCUGAGAGGAAGGUCCCCCACAUUGGAACUGAGACACGGUCCAAACUCCUGCGGGAGGCAGCAGUGAGGAAUAUUGGUCAAUGGGCGAGAGCUUGAACCAGCCAAGUAGCGUGCAGGAUGACGGCCCUAUGGGUUGUAAACUGCUUUUAUAAGGGAAUAAAGUGAGUCUCGUGAGACUUUUUGCAUGUACCUUAUGAAUAAGGACCGGCUAAUUCCGUGCCAGCAGCCG